UUCAAAAACAUGGCUUUAUGUAUAUUAUAUAAAGUCUGGCCUGCCCACUGAUUUUUUAAAGGGCCGCGGUAUUUUGACCGUGCGAAGGUAGCAUAAUCAAUAGUCUUUUAAUUGAAGGCUGGAAUGAAUGGUCGGACAAAAUACAAGCUGUCUAAGAUUUAUUUUUUGAAUUUUACUUUUAAGUGAAAAGGCUUAAAUUAUUUAAAGUGACGAUAAGACCCUAUAAAGCUUUAUAUUUAACAAGAUUAGUUUUAUAUAUAAGGUAUAAAUUUAAUUUUUCUUAAAAUAUUGCAUUGGGGCGAUGUAAAUUUAAUAGGUAACAGUUGUUAAUUAGAAAUAAAUGAUAUUUAGAAAAGGAGAUCCUUUAUAAAGAUUAUAAGAAAAAGUUACUUUAGGGAUAACAGCGUGAUUUUUUCAGAGAGUUCAUAUCGAUGAAAGUAGUUGCGACCUCGAUGUUGAAUUAAGAUUUCUUUAGGGUGUAGCCGCUUUAAUUGUAGGUCUGUUCGACCUUAAAAUCUACUGAUUUGAGUUCAAACCGGCGUGAGCCAGGUUUUUUUUCUAUCUA
rnacentral:rRNA from 1 species